UACGUAAAAGACUAGUGUUAUUCAUCUUCAAUAGGUUUAAAGGGUACCUAGACGGUAAUAUUAGCUCAAAACAGAGUACAAUAUUACCAGAGUUUUAUAUGAGAUGGGGAGUAUUAAUAGAGUAGAGAUGAAAUUUUUUGAUACUAUUAGGACUGAUAAUAGCGAAAGCAACCUUUUAUGUAAUAACUGACGUUGAGGGACGAAGGCCUGGGUAACGAACAGG
rnacentral:rRNA from 1 species